AGCGUACACGGUGGAUGCCUAGGCAGUCAGAGGCGAUGAAGGGCGUGCUAAUCUGCGAAAAGCGUCGGUAAGCUGAUAUGAAGCGUUAUAACCGACGAUACCCGAAUGGGGAAACCCAGUGCAAUACGUUGCACUAUCGUUAGAUGAAUACAUAGUCUAACGAGGCGAACCGGGGGAACUGAAACAUCUAAGUACCCCGAGGAAAAGAAAUCAACCGAGAUUCCCCCAGUAGCGGCGAGCGAACGGGGAGGAGCCCAGAGUCUGAAUCAGUUUGUGUGUUAGUGGAAGCGUCUGGAAAGUCGCACGGUACAGGGUGAUAGUCCCGUACACCAAAAUGCACAGGCUGUGAACUCGAUGAGUAGGGCGGGACACGUGACAUCCUGUCUGAAUAUGGGGGGACCAUCCUCCAAGGCUAAAUACUCCUGACUGACCGAUAGUGAACCAGUACCGUGAGGGAAAGGCGAAAAGAACCCCGGCGAGGGGAGUGAAAUAGAACCUGAAACCGUGUACGUACAAGCAGUGGGAGCACCUUCGUGGUGUGACUGCGUACCUUUUGUAUAAUGGGUCAGCGACUUAUAUUUUGUAGCAAGGUUAACCGAAUAGGGGAGCCGUAGGGAAACCGAGUCUUAACUGGGCGUCUAGUUGCAAGGUAUAGACCCGAAACCCGGUGAUCUAGCCAUGGGCAGGUUGAAGGUUGGGUAACACUAACUGGAGGACCGAACCGACUAAUGUUGAAAAAUUAGCGGAUGACUUGUGGCUGGGGGUGAAAGGCCAAUCAAACCGGGAGAUAGCUGGUUCUCCCCGAAAGCUAUUUAGGUAGCGCCUCGUGAACUCAUCUUCGGGGGUAGAGCACUGUUUCGGCUAGGGGGCCAUCCCGGCUUACCAAACCGAUGCAAACUCCGAAUACCGAAGAAUGUUAUCACGGGAGACACACGGCGGGUGCUAACGUCCGUCGUGAAGAGGGAAACAACCCAGACCGCCAGCUAAGGUCCCAAAGUCAUGGUUAAGUGGGAAACGAUGUGGGAAGGCACAGACAGCCAGGAUGUUGGCUUAGAAGCAGCCAUCAUUUAAAGAAAGCGUAAUAGCUCACUGGUCGAGUCGGCCUGCGCGGAAGAUGUAACGGGGCUAAACCAUGCACCGAAGCUGCGGCAGCGACGUUUAGGCGUUGUUGGGUAGGGGAGCGUUCUGUAAGCCGUUGAAGGUGACCUGUGAGGGUUGCUGGAGGUAUCAGAAGUGCGAAUGCUGACAUAAGUAACGAUAAUGCGGGUGAAAACCCGCACGCCGGAAGACCAAGGGUUCCUGUCCAACGUUAAUCGGGGCAGGGUGAGUCGACCCCUAAGGCGAGGCUGAAAAGCGUAGUCGAUGGGAAACAGGUUAAUAUUCCUGUACUUGGUGUUACUGCGAAGGGGGGACGGAGAAGGCUAGGCUGGCCGGGCGACGGUUGUCCCGGUUUAAGCGUGUAGGGGGAGUGACCAGGUAAAUCCGGUUGCUUAUCAACCCUGAGGCGUGAUGACGAUGCACCACGGUGCAGAAGCAGUUGAUGCCAUGCUUCCAGGAAAAGCCUCUAAGCAUCAGGUAACAUUAAAUCGUACCCCAAACCGACACAGGUGGUCAGGUAGAGAAUACUCAGGCGCUUGAGAGAACUCGGGUGAAGGAACUAGGCAAAAUGGUGCCGUAACUUCGGGAGAAGGCACGCUGGCGUUAGGUGAAAGGACUAGCUCCUGGAGCUGAAGCCAGUCGCAGAUACCAGCUGGCUGCAACUGUUUAAUAAAAACACAGCACUGUGCAAACACGAAAGUGGACGUAUACGGUGUGACGCCUGCCCGGUGCUGGAAGGUUAAUUGAUGGGGUCAGCCGCAAGGGGAAGCUCUUGAUCGAAGCCCCAGUAAACGGCGGCCGUAACUAUAACGGUCCUAAGGUAGCGAAAUUCCUUGUCGGGUAAGUUCCGACCUGCACGAAUGGCGUAAUGAUGGCCAGGCUGUCUCCACCCGAGACUCAGUGAAAUUGAACUCGCUGUGAAGAUGCAGUGUACCCGCGGCAAGACGGAAAGACCCCGUGAACCUUUACUAUAGCUUGACACUGAACAUUGAGCCUUGAUGUGUAGGAUAGGUGGGAGGCCUUGAAGUGUGGACGCCAGUCUGCAUGGAGCCAACCUUGAAAUACCACCCUUUAAUGUUUGAUGUUCUAACUCGGCCCCAUGAUCUGGGGUGAGGACAGUGUCUGGUGGGUAGUUUGACUGGGGCGGUCUCCUCCCAAAGAGUAACGGAGGAGCACGAAGGUUAGCUAAUCACGGUCGGACAUCGUGAGGUUAGUGCAAAGGCAUAAGCUAGCUUGACUGCGAGAGUGACGGCUCGAGCAGGUACGAAAGUAGGUCUUAGUAUCCGGUGGUUCUGAAUGGAAGGGCCAUCGCUCAACGGAUAAAAGGUACUCCGGGGAUAACAGGCUGAUACCGCCCAAGAGUUCAUAUCGACGGCGGUGUUUGGCACCUCGAUGUCGGCUCAUCACAUCCUGGGGCUGAAGUAGGUCCCAAGGGUAUGGCUGUUCGCCAUUUAAAGUGGUACGCGAGCUGGGUUUAGAACGUCGUGAGACAGUUCGGUCCCUAUCUGCCGUGGGCGUUGGAAGAUUGAGAGGGGCUGCUCCUAGUACGAGAGGACCGGAGUGGACGAAUCACUGGUGUUCGGGUUGUCAUGCCAAUGGCAUUGCCCGGUAGCUAAAUUCGGAAGAGAUAACCGCUGAAAGCAUCUAAGCGGGAAACUUGCCUCGAGAUGAGUCUUCCCUGGGGCUUAAAGCCCCCUGAAGGAACGUUAAAGACUAUGACGUUGAUAGGCUGGGUGUGUAAGUGCAGCGAUGUAUUGAGCUAACCAGUACUAAUGAUCCGUGAGGCUUAACC
rnacentral:rRNA from 1 species